rnacentral:rRNA from 1 species
AUUGAACGCUGGCGGCGUGCUUAACACAUGCAAGUCGAUCGGUAACGCGGGGGCAACCCUGGCGACGAGAGGCGGACGGGUGAGGAACGCUUGGGAAUCUGCCUAUCAGCGGGGGACUACACGGGGAAACUCGUGCUAAUACCGCAUACGCUCUACGGAGGAAAGCCGGGGACCGCAAGGCCUGGCACUGAUAGAUGAGCCCAAGCCGGAUUAGCUAGUUGGCGGGGUAACGGCCCACCAAGGCGAGGAUCCGUAGCUGGUCUGAGAGGACGAUCAGCCACACUGGGACUGAGCCACGGCCCAGACUCCUACGGGAGGCAGCAGUGGGGAAUAUUGGACAAUGGGGGAAACCCUGAUCCAGCGACGCCGCGUGGGUGAAGAAGGCCUGCGGGUUGUAAAGCCCUUUCGGUAGGGACGAAAGCUCUCGACCUAACACGUCGGGAGGUUGACUUAACCUACAAAAGAAGCACCGGCUAACUCUGUGCCAGCCGCCGCCGUAAAAC